rnacentral:hammerhead_ribozyme from 3 species
CUGCUGAGGAGUCCCAUACUAGGACGAAACGGCCGUCCAGUGC